AACGCUAGCGGGAGGCCUAACACAUGCAAGCCGAGCGGUAGAGUGUCUUCGGAUACUUGAGAGCGGCGUACGGGUGCGGAACACGUGUGCAACCUGCCUUUAUCUGAGGGAUAGCCUUUCGAAAGGAAGAUUAAUACCUCAUAAUAUACUGAUUGGCAUCAAUUAGUAUUGAAAGCUCCGGCGGAUAGAGAUGGGCACGCGCAAGAUUAGAUAGUUGGUGAGGUAACGGCUCACCAAGUCAAUGAUCUUUAGGGGGCCUGAGAGGGUGAUCCCCCACACUGGUACUGAGACACGGACCAGACUCCUACGGGAGGCAGCAGUGAGGAAUAUUGGACAAUGGGUGCAAGCCUGAUCCAGCCAUCCCGCGUGAAGGACGACGGCCCUAUGGGUUGUAAACUUCUUUUGUACAGGGAUAAACCUACUCUCGUGAGGGUAGCUGAAGGUACUGUACGAAUAAGCACCGGCUAACUCCGUGCCAGCCGCCGCGGUAAUUA
rnacentral:rRNA from 1 species